rnacentral:rRNA from 1 species
AACGAACGCUGGCGGCAUGCCUAACACAUGCAAGUCGAACGAGACCUUCGGGUCUAGUGGCGCACGGGUGCGUAACGCGUGGGAACCUGCCCUUAGGUUCGGAAUAACUCCCCGAAAGGGGUGCUAAUACCGGAUAAUGUCUUCGGACCAAAGAUUUAUCGCCUUUGGAUGGGCCCGCGUUGGAUUAGCGAGUUGGUAGGGUAAAAGCCUACCAAGGCGACGAUCCAUAGCUGGUCUGAGAGGAUGAUCAGCCACACUGGGACUGAGACACGGCCCAGACUCCUACGGGAGGCAGCAGUGGGGAAUAUUGGACAAUGGGCGAAAGCCUGAUCCAGCAAUGCCGCGUGAGUGAUGAAGGCCUUAGGGUUGUAAAGCUCUUUUACCCGGGAUGAUAAUGACAGUACCGGGAGAAUAAGCUCCGGCUAACUACGUG